CAAUAGCGUAUAUUAAAGUUGUUGCAGUUAAAAAGCUCGUAGUUGGAUUUCGGGACGGGCCAGUUGGUCCGCCGCAAGGUGUGUUACUGACUGGUCUGUUCUUCUUCGCAAAGACUGCGUGUGCUCUUCGUUGAGUGUGCGUAGGAUUUACGACGUUUACUUUGAAAAAAUUAGAGUGUUCAAAGCAGGCUAUCGCUUGAAUACAUGAGCAUGGAAUAAUGGAAUAGGACUUUGGUCCUAUUUUGUUGGUUUCUAGGACCGAAGUAAUGAUUAAGAGAGACAAUUGGGGGCAUCCGUAUUUCGUUGUCAGAGGUGAAAUUCUUGGAUUUACGAAAGACGAACAACUGCGAAAGCACUUGCCAAGAGUGUUUUCAUUAA
rnacentral:rRNA from 1 species